CAUGUAGGCGGUCCUUUUAAGUCUGGAGUGAAAAAUGCGGGGCUCAACCCCCGUAUGGCUUUGGAUACUGGGGGGACUUGAGUGCAGGAGAGGAAAGGGGAAUUCCCAGUGUAGCGGUGAGAUGCGUAGAUAUUGGGAGGAACACCAGUGGCGAAGGCGCCUUUCUGGACUGUGUCUGACGCUGAGAUGCGAAAGCCAGGGUAGCGAACG
rnacentral:rRNA from 1 species